UGAUACGUAGGGGGCGAGCGUUGUCCGGAUUCAUUGGGCGUAAAGAGCUCGUAGGCGGUUCGGUAAGUCAGGUGUAAAAACUCCAGGCUCAACUUGGAGAGGCCACCUGAUACUGCCGUGACUAGAGUCCGGUAGAGGAGCAUGGAAUUCCUGGUGUAGCGGUGAAAUGCGCAGAUAUCAGGAGGAACACCAGCGGCGAAGGCGGUGCUCUGGGCCGGAACUGACGCUGAGGAGCGAAAGCGUGGGGAGCGAACAGGAUUAGAUACCCUGGUAGUCCACGCCGUAAACGUUGGGCACUAGGUGUGGGACUCUGUCAACGGGUCCUGUGCCGUAGCUAACGCAUUAAGUGCCCCGCCUGGGGAGUACGGCCGCAAGGCUA
rnacentral:rRNA from 1 species